rnacentral:rRNA from 1 species
UACAGAGGUCCCGAGCGUUGUUCGGAUUCAUUGGGCGUAAAGGGUGCGUAGGCGGUCGGGUAAGUCUGAUGUGAAAUCUCACAGCUUAACUGUGAAACUGCAUUGGAUACUAUUCGGCUUGAGAGUUGGAGGGGGGACUGGAAUUCUUGGUGUAGCAGUGAAAUGCGUAGAUAUCAAGAGGAACACCAGUGGCGAAGGCGAGUCCCUGGACAACUUCUGACGCUGAGGCACGAAAGCUAGGGGAGCAAACAGG